UUAUUCUGGGAUCAUAAGGAUUUGAAGGAUAUAUAUUAGGAUCCAAUAGAUGGCAGUAAUGCAACAACUAUGGAUGCAAGCUGUCGUUAAAUCCUAAAGAAGAAGAAGAAGAAGAAGAAGAAGAAGAAGAAGAAGACGACUUUACUGUGUUUGGAUUUUACUGGUAUGCCGGACAACGUCUCGCGUUCAACUCCUCUAGGACGCGAUCCACAACUUUCAGCCAGUCCGCAGACUGACGAGAAGAAACUGCUGAUUGCUAUCAGUGGACUGUCUCGUCAGCUUACUCAACAUACUGCCGACAUGAGAGGUUCACUCAACUGCAGAAUUCGGUAAACUCCAGGUUGCUGUCCAUAGAGGACAAGAUGGCGGCUCUGCAGUCGAACAACUGUGCUGGAGAGACUAACUCCAAGAAGAGAAGACGGAUGCACAAAAGCUUGCGUACGCCGUCUUCACAACUCGGAGACAAAUUGCAGGCGCUAUGAACCGGCGCAAGGACUAAGCACGCCUCAUAAUGAGGCAGUUACCUCCUAUCUGCUCGGAGCAAUAACUGCAAGCCUCGAUUUACACUAUAUUGAUAAAGACGACAU